ACCUGCCUAGUUUAGAGUGGUGGCUGGAGGCUGGCCUUCAUCCUCAGCCUAGAGUCAAGCUCUCCUGCUGAAUGAACCUUGUUCUUCUAUGUUAGAUGGACAUGAGCUGUCUCCCUAUCACAGCAACAGGUGAGGGAGGCCUCAGUGGGAUGGUACCUUUAAGUUGUAAGCAUGAUAAUAGAAGUAAGCGCUAAACAAAUGCUAGGGCUUAGUUUGGGAAUUUAUUCAUUCCACAAGCAUAUCUUAGCACCUCCCUUGUGUCAAGCUUCGUGAGUGACGUUGAGAGAAAGCAGCUCCGAAGGUUAGAGUGACACUUAGUAACACUGGUGUCAGAGCCUCCUUCCUCACUUCUUCCUUACUGUCCUCACCAGAGUCUAGCAAUCCCUUCCCAGAAUACCUUUCGGCCAAACCCUUUUCUCCUUUUCCUCUGCCAUUGUCCAGGCCUGGACAUGGUUAUAGGUUCUGGAAGAUUGACCUCAACGGCCAUCCAGCCCAGAGCCAUCCAUUCAGGCCACACUCCUUCGUAAGCCACAGUGAAGCUUGAGGGUGAAUCCAUGCACUAUCUCCAGGCUCCUCAGCCUGACACUAGGAGACCUUCCCCAGUUUCCCCCUUGUCUUCCUAGAAUUUUUUUGUCUCCUGCUUCUUUCCCACCUCUCCACAGCCCACCUACAUCCAUGACCUAGCCCAGCUAAACCAUUGCUGCAUCCCACAGGAAUGAUCACUUCCUGCUGUGGUACCUCCAAGCUUGUUCCACUUCAGGGCCUCUCUGUGAGGCCUGGUAGGUGACCAUAGUCCCUCCCAAUGGCAGCAGCCCACUGAGAUUCUGCCGUGAUCUUCUCCCCUCCACAGACAGCAUCAGCCACCCCAGAGGCUGUGCAAUUCAGAUAAUGUUUUAGCAAUGCUGUUAAAUCCUCACAACAAUGCAAGAUUGAAUCAUGUACCCAAGAUCAAACAAGUAAGAGGAGCAUGCAGGCACAUACACUCACACACACACACACAUGCUCACACACAUAUGCUCACAUACUCGCACACUCGAGAGCGCUCACAUGCAUACACACACACAGAACCACCUAUGGCCUCAUUUCCACUCCCUGCCACAGGCCUGGACCCACAUGAAAGCUGACCCACCAUGGAGGCUGCCUCUCAGGCUUGAAAAAUGACAGCCCUUCCCAGCUUGUGGUUACAAGCUCAGGCUCUGGCAUCAGACAGAUCUGGAUUUGAAUUCCGGCUCUGCAGCUGUUACAGCCCUAGGCAUCCUCACCUGUGCUGAGGGAUAAUGUCACCUAAUGGUAGGGUGCUCUCCGGGAUUAGAGAAGACUGUAAGCAAGAUCCUAGCCACCAGAGCCUGGCAUGUAACUGAUGCUCUCUAAAUGCUACCUACUGCUCGUGGUCACCUCUGAGUCCCAGUGAAGGGAAUCGAAAAGACCCCUCCCAAGCUCUCCUCUAACUCAGCCCAGCUGAUGCUUGACAGAGAGCUAAGUGAGCCUGUGACUCAGAGGCAAGCCUAGCACACCAGGCUAAGAAAAGGAGUCCCUCCGGUCCUUGUGAAGAACAAAUGCUCACCCUCAAGCACGUGCACAACAGUUUGCAAACUGCCAUCUGGGAUCUUAAGAGUUAGAUGCUGAAGGAGGUGCAAUGGCAGCCCAUGCUUUAGGCUCCUCAGGAAGGAGGUCAAAGGUCAUAAAACAGAACACAUGCUGAAAAAAAUCUCCCACCUCACCAGUUGCCUCACCAGGGAUCGCUGAACUCUAGGAGCUGGGGUUUACCUUGCGUUCCUUCUGUCUCCGGGUACCUCGGCUCACAGUGCCAAUUCUGACUGCUUCAAAGGGGAUGGGGGGCAAGCCAUAUGGAAAUCAGUGUGGCCCAGACCGUUUAUGGCAAAUAAAUUUGAGUUUUCACUUAGCAUAGCAGUCAUUCUUUACAACAGGAGUAGCCUCUCUGGAGAGGCUUAGCCCAGUAGAGCACAGCUAUGGGAUGGACGGGGAGCAGAGCAGGGCUAGAGGACUGUGCACAGGAGCCAGGACUUGGAAUGUGCAGAGACCUGCAAAGGAGAUGGGGGACUGGGAUUCCAAUGUACGCUUCGUUUAUUCU
rnacentral:lncRNA from 1 species